UACGAAGGGGGCUAGCGUUGCUCGGAAUUACUGGGCGUAAAGCGCACGUAGGCGGCUCUUUAAGUCGGGGGUGAAAUCCUGGAGCUCAACUCCAGAACUGCCUUCGAUACUGGGAGUCUCGAGUCCGGGAGAGGUGAGUGGAACUGCGAGUGUAGAGGUGAAAUUCGUAGAUAUUCGCAAGAACACCAGUGGCGAAGGCGGCUCACUGGCCCGGUACUGACGCUGAGGUGCGAAAGCGUGGGGAGCAAACAGG
rnacentral:rRNA from 1 species